ACUGCUCAGUAACACGUGGAUAACCUGCCCUGCGGUGGGAAAUAACCCCGGGAAACUGGGGAUAAUGUCCCAUAGGCUACGGAUGCUGGAAUGCUCUGUAGCUCAAAGAUUUAUCGCCACAGGAUGGGUCUGCGGCCGAUUAGGUAGUUGUUGGGGUAACGGCCCAACAAGCCUUUGAUCGGUACGGGUUGUGGGAGCAAGAGCCCGGAGAUGGAUUCUGAGACACGAAUCCAGGCCCUACGGGGUGCAGCAGGCGCGAAAACUUUACAAUGCUGGCAACAGCGAUAAGGGAACCUCGAGUGCCAGGUUACAAAUCUGGCUGUCGAGAUGCCUAAAAAGCAUUUCAUAGCAAGGGCCGGGCAAGACCGGUGCCAGCCGCCGCGGUAACACCGGCGGCUCGAGUGGUAACCGUUAUUAUUGGGUCUAAAGGGUCUGUAGCCGGCCGGAUAAGUCUCUUGAGAAAUCUGGCAGCUUAACUGUCAGGCUUUCAGGAGAUACUGUCUGGCUCGAGGCCGGGAGAGGUGAGAGGUACUUCAGGGGUAGGGGUGAAAUCUUGUAAUCCUUGAAGGACCACCAGUGGCGAAGGCGUCUCACCAGAACGGACCUGACGGCAAGGGACGAAAGCUAGGGGCACGAACCGGAUUAGAUACCCGGGUAGUCCUAGCCGUAAACGAUACUCGCUAGGUGUCGGCCACGGUGCGACCGUUGUCGGUGCCGUAGGGAAGCCGUGAAGCGAGCCACCUGGGAAGUACGGCCGCAAGGCUGAAACUUAAAGGAAUUGGCGGGGGAGCAC
rnacentral:rRNA from 1 species